rnacentral:rRNA from 1 species
CCUACGGGUGGCAGCAGUGAGGAAUAUUGGUCAAUGGGCGUAAGCCUGAACCAGCCAAGCCGCGUGAGGGAUGAAGGUUCUAUGGAUCGUAAACCUCUUUUAUAAGGGAGUAAAUUGUGGGACGUGUCCUAUUUUGUAUGUACCGUAUGAAUCAGGAUCGGCUAACUCCGUGCCAGCAGCCGCGGUAAUACGGAGGAUCCGAGCGUUAUCCGGAUUUAUUGGGUUUAAAGGGUGCGUAGGCGGCCUUUUAAGUCAGCGGUGAAAGUCUGUGGCUCAACCAUAGAAUUGCCGUUGAAACUGGGGGGCUUGAGUGUGUAUGAGGCAGGCGGAAUGCGUGGUGUAGCGGUGAAAUGCUUAGAUA